GGGCCGCUAACUCAAUGGAAGAGUGACUCCCUUUUAAGGAGUAAGUUCUGGGUCCGAGUCCCAGGCGGCUCA
rnacentral:tRNA from 1 species